rnacentral:rRNA from 1 species
AUUGAACGCUGGCGGCAGGCUUAACACAUGCAAGUCGAACGAGUGGCGGACGGGUGAGUAAUGCCUGGGAAUCUAGCUUAUGGAGGGGGAUAACUACGGGAAACUGUAGCUAAUACCGCGUACCAUAGGAUGAGCCCAUGUGGGGUUAGGUAGUUGGUGAGGUAAAGGCUCACCAAGCCGACGAUCUCUAGCUGGUCUGAGAGGAUGACCAGCCACGCUGGAACGGAGACACGGCCCAGCAUCUUACGGGAGGCAGCAGUGGGGAAUAUUGCGCAAUGGGGGCAACCUGACGCAGCAAUGCCGCGUGAAUGAAGAAGGCCUUCGGGUUGUAAAGUUCUUUCGGUAGCGAGGCGUUACCUACAGAAGAAGCACCGGCUAACUCCGUGCCAGCCGCCGCGGUAAUUC